CUCCAGUUGCCCUAUAACCAACCCAAUAACCAGCCCAAUAGGCAGCCCCACAGCUGCCCCAUAGCCAGACCUAUUGCCCCGCCCCAUAGCAAACCCCGCCCCACAGUCGCCCCACAGUGAACUCUACAGCUGCCCCACAAUCAGCCCUACUGCUAGCCCUAUAGGCAGCCCCAUAGCUGCCCUAUAGGCAGCCCUAUAGACAGCCCCAUAACCAGCCUUAUUGCCUCACCCCAUAGCAAACUCAGCCACACAGCUGCCCCAUAGCCAGCCCUAUAGGCAGCCCCAUAGCUGCUCCAUUACCAGCCCCAUAGCCAGCCCUGUAGGCAGCCCCACAGCUGCCCUAUAGGCAGCCCCAUAGCCAGCCCUAUAGGCAGCCCCACAGCUGCCCCAUAAUCAGCCCCAUAGCCAGCCCUAUAGGCAGCCCCACACCUGCCCCAUAACCAGCCCUAUAGUCAGCCCCACAGCUGCCCCAUAACCAGUCCUAUAGGCAGCCCCACAGCUGCCCCAUAGCCAGCCCAAUUGUCCCACCCCAUAGCAAACUCCGCCCCACAGCAGCCCCAUAGCCAGCCCUAUAAGCAGUCCUAUAGCUGCCCCAUAACCAGCCCUGGAGCCCAGCCCCAUAACAAACUCAGCCCCACAGCUGCCCCAUAGCCAGCCCUAUAGUCAGCCCCAUAGCUGCCCCAUAACCAGCCCCAUAGCCAGCCCUAAAUGCAGCCCCACAGCUGCCCCAUAACCUGCCCCAUAACCAGCCCCAUAGGCAGCCCUAUAUGCAGCCCCAUAACCAGCCCUAUUGUCCCACCCCAUAGCAAACUCAGCCCCACAGCAGCCCCAUAGCCAGCCCUAUAACCAGCCCCAUAGCCAGCCCUAUAAGCAGUCCCAUAGCUGCCCCAUAACCAGCCCUGGAGCCCAGCCCCAUAGCAAACUCAGCCCCACAGCUGCCCCAUAACCAGCCCCAUAGCAAACCCCACAACCGCCCCAUAGGCAGCCCCACAGCCAGCCCUAUAGGCAGCCCCAUAGCUGCCCCAUAACCAGCCCUAUAGUCAGCCCCAUAGCCAGCCCUAUAGGCAGCCCCACAGCUGCCCCAUAACCAGCCCCAAAGCCAGCCCUAUAGGCAGCCCCACAGCUGCCCCACAGCCAGCCCCAUAGCCAGCCCUAUAGCCAGACCCAUAGCUGCCCCAUAACCAGCCCUACUGCCCCACCCCAUAGCAAACUCAGCCCCACAGCUGCCCCAUAACCAGCCCCAGAGCAAACCCCACAACCGCCCCAUAGGCAGCCCUAUAGGCAGCCCCACAGCCAGCCCUAUAGGCAGCCCCAUAGCUGCCCCAUAACCAGCCCUAUAGUCAGCUCCAUAGCUGCCCCAUAACCAGCACUAUAGUCAGCCCCAUAGCCAGCCCUAUAGGCAGCCCCACAACCAUCCCUACCGCCCCACCCCCAUAGCAAACCCAGCCCCACAGCCGCCCCAUAGCGACCCCCACAGCCUCCCCACGUGACGACCCCCCGGUGACCCCCGGGGGGGCGGUUCGGGGCUUUACGGGGGGACUCGGGGAUUUCCGGGGGGGUUCGGGCAUUUCCGGGGAGGGUUCGGGGAUUUCCGGGGGGACUCGGGGGGUUUCCGGGGGGUUUCGGGGGUCCCCACUCCGCGCUCACCGCCGCGCGCUGCCCCAUGGCCUCCCGUAG
ensembl:lncRNA